rnacentral:rRNA from 1 species
AUUGAACGCUGGCGGCAGGCUUAACACAUGCAAGUCGAGCGGGGGAGGUUGCUUCGGUAACUGACCUAGCGGCGGACGGGUGAGUAAUGCUUAGGAAUCUGCCUAUUAGUGGGGGACAACAUUCCGAAAGGGAUGCUAAUACCGCAUACGCCCUACGGGGGAAAGCAGGGGAUCUUCGGACCUCGCGCUAAUAGAUGAGCCUAAGUCGGAUUAGCUAGUAGGUGGGGUAAAGGCCUACCAAGGCGACGAUCUGUAGCGGGUCUGAGAGGAUGAUCCGCCACACUGGGACUGAGACACGGCCCAGAAUCCUACGGGAGGCAGCAGUGGGGAAUAUUGGACAAUGGGCGGAAGCCUGAUCCAGCCAUGCCGCGUGUGUGAAGAAGGCCUUUUGGUUGUAAAGCACUUUAAGCGAGGAGGAGGCUCUUAAGGUUAAUACCCUUGAUGAGUGGACGUUACUCGCAGAAUAAGCACCGGCUAACUCUGUGCCAGCCGCCGCAGUAAUAC